UACGGAGGUGGCUAGCGUUGAUCGGAAUUACUGGGCGUAAAGCGCACGUAGGCGGACGAGAAAGUCAGAGGUGAAAUCUCAGGGCUCAACCCUGGAACUGCCUUUGAAACUCCUUGUCUUGAGGUCGAGAGAGGUGAGUGGAAUUCCGAGUGUAGAGGUGAAAUUCGUAGAUAUUCGGAGGAACACCAGUGGCGAAGGCGGCUCACUGGCUCGAUACUGACGCUGAGGUGCGAAAGCGUGGGGAGCAAACAGG
rnacentral:rRNA from 1 species